rnacentral:rRNA from 1 species
GACAGAGGGUGCAAACGUUGUUCGGAAUUAUUGGGCGUAAAGAGCGUGUAGGCGGCUUGAUUAGUCUGCUGUGAAAGUCCAGGGCUCAACCCUGGAAUGCCGGUGGAUACUGUCAAGCUAGAGUCCGGAAGGGGCGAGUGGAAUUCCUGGUGUAGCGGUGAAAUGCGCAGAUAUCAGGAGGAACGCCAAUGGCGAAGGCAGCUCGCUGGGACGUGACUGACGCUGAGACGCGAAAGCGUGGGGAGCAAACAGG